UCCUGCUCUUGCGAGACAACUGGGCAUCUGUAACUCCAAGCGUCAACAUGAACAGAAGAACGUCAGUAUCAGACUGAGGCUUGGUCACCCGUCACCAAAUUAAUGUGGCCACUUGCUUCCUUUGUGGAGCUCAAAGAAGCACUUGCCCUCUCAUCACCUCCAUUACAUUACCCGAAGCAUCAUCAUCCAGCAGACCAUCGUCAUUAGUUAAGCAAAUAUGCUGGAAAGUAUUUAUUUCAACAUUUAAAAUACGCUUUUAAUCCUAAUAGGACACCUUUUAGAUUAUUGCAUAGUAAGCUUUGAAUUUUUGUUGCAAAUUUAACAUUUUUGUAUUAAAUUUCGAAUUUGUCAAAUGCAAGAACUGGGCCAACAUUAUCAAGCACCAACUAGUCUUGGUUUGAGCUUUGUUGUUGCUGAUUUAUUUCGUCCCAUUUCAGGAAAAGUUGAAGAUUAUAACAAUCUUGGAGCAAUCCAAAGUGGAUUUAUUGCAAGGAAUUGAUUGUUAUAAGAAGUGCCAACUGAAAUUAUGAACAAUUCUUAUUUGUUCAUAGAUCAGGACUGAUGGAAAAGUAACUGUUUGUUUUACAUUUAUGUGUUUAAUGUGGGAUUUUUUAUUCUUAUAUUUGUAUGGAAGUUUAAAGUUUGCAUCAA